UAGGGAAUAUUGGACAAUGGGGGCAACCCUGAUCCAGCCAUGCCGCGUGGGUGAAGAAGGCCCUCGGGUUGUAAAGCUCUUUUGUCCGGAAAGAAAAGCAUUCGGUGAAUACCCGGAUGUUCUGACGGUACCGGAAGAAUAAGCACCGGCUAACUUCGUGCCAGCAGCCGCGGUAAUACGAAGGGUGCAAGCGUUACUCGGAAUUACUGGGCGUAAAGCGUGCGUAGGUGGUUGUUUAAGUCUGAUGUGAAAGCCCUGGGCUCAACCUGGGAAUGGCAUUGGAAACUGGGCAGCUAGAGUGCGGUAGAGGGUAGUGGAAUUCCCGGUGUAGCAGUGAAAUGCGUAGAGAUCGGGAGGAACAUCUGUGGCGAAGGCGACUGCCUGGACCAGCACUGACACUGAGGCACGAAAGCGUGGGGAGCAAACA
rnacentral:rRNA from 1 species